UGUAUGAAGAUGCAUUUCAAGUAAGCUAAAAACAAAAUUUGUUUCACAGAUGACGACGGAUAUGUUCCAAUUGUCGUAUCUACUAUCUCGUCCCCUUCCCGCGAAUGUCACCUACCGAAUUAUACAUAUCACCGUAUUUGUACUUACAUGAGCAAGCCAACACGACGGGUGUCACAUGUGGAGCAGGAUAUGCUUACGCUUCCGGAGCACCCGAGAUCACCCUAGUUUUUGGUACGGUUCGUGUUGCUCAGUCUCUGGUUUUCUAUGUUGUUUUGUGUACUGUUGUUUAACAAUGUCCGUUUGUCUUUUUCUUUUUUAGCCAUGGCGUUGUCAGUUUAUUUUUCGACUUAUGAGUUUGAAUGUCUCUUUGGUAUCCUUCGCCUCUCUUUUGUAACGAACAUCGUCAGAGUUGUGUUUUAAAUGUUGUAUUGUUGGUCAUUUAGGAAACUGAUACCGCUGACAGAUAUUUAGUACUCCCUGUAAAAUUUAUUUACAACAUUCUUAGACUCAGGAUUGUACUGAAUUGUACUGGACUCGAAUGUGUACUUCCCUUACCAGUCAGCUGUACUUGACAAAUAGUACACACAAAGUCAAAAUUGUUCACAAAAACGACUGAGUGCAGAUCAGACUGUUUCAAAUAAGGUUCGAUUGUGGUCAACUACGAUAUUAAAAGUUAAGUACAAUUAAACAAGAUACUGAACGGUUCUGACUAGAAAUAGUACAGUUUAUGUACUAUUGAGCACCACUUAGACUAUAGAGACUGUCUUUAUAUCGCAAAUAUAUUACAGAAACUAUUUGCAUAUAAACAUAGAAUAUGAAUAAAGAUGGCAUUCAAUGACACAGCAACCGAACGACACAAAAAUACAAAAGAAUAUAUCGGUCGAUGUACCGCCAUGUUCCUCUACAAAGAUCUAUAUGUUAGCUCUACACCGCCCCAAAAAAAGAUAUAUCUAAGAAAGUACAAAAGAAAAAUUAAGUUCAGAAAAAAGGUCAUAGCUCUAUUAUAAAAAGGUACAAAUAAAAAAAAAUACAGUAUCACAUUUAAAGGUACUGACCACAAACGCAUAAAUUUAAUCUAUGAAUAUCAAAUCAUGUCGUCCUAUACUCUAGCAUCGAUGACUGUAUUUAUUAGUAAAUUUCAAUCAUCAACACCAUCAACAUUGCAGGAAACCAAGAUCCUGUGCUAUGUCAGACUUUUCCAGACUAGUCGAGUACACAUUAUCAUUCAGAAAAGAUAAGUAUUUAAGUCAGACAUUUCCUGGUUCGUUGUGUCAGCCAUGGAUAUGAUAACUCAAGUAAGUAGACCAAGCACUUGAUAACGUGUGAAGGUCAAGAGAUCAGAUGACAUACAUAUAUUCAUUAUUAUAAUACUAGUAGGUCAUGUAUAAAGCAUUGCACCAUAUACAAUUCUUAACUUUUUGUCCCCCUCUUUUUGACUAAAACUCAAAAGUUAUAAACUGGUAUAAUGACAGUAUUGGAAUGUAAAUUCUUGGCAAUGUUAUAUAUUUUUUUUUGGUUGGUCAAAUGUUGACCUAAAUAUGAAAGUUAGGAGAAGUGGUUACGAAUUUCAAUGAGGCAUCGAUCAACCAGAGUUCAAAUCACGUGGAUUAUUAUAGGUCAUCUUACAGCCUUUAAGAAUGAAGAAAUAUCCAUACCGUAUAGUUAGCUAUGAAAGGCCCGACAUGAUAAAUUUGAAGCAAUUCAAACGAAAAUACUAGGUCUGAUGUAUAACAAUACAAUUUACGAAAAAAAACCCAAACAUGACAGAUAUAAACCAACCACAACCACUGAAUAACAAGGCUCCUGACUUGGGACAGGCAUAUACAGAAUGUUGUGGGGUUAAAAUUGUUUGUGAACGCUCAACACUCCCUAACCUGGGACAGUGGUAUAAGAGCUCAACAUCAGAACAAACUGUAAAAAUCAAAUGCAAAUGGCUUCACUCAAUAGAUUGGUAUGAAGCACAGAAAAACAAUGAACAUAAAAACAAUAGACACAAAGCCCCGAUAUAAAGUUGUUUUUAACAAUAGACACAAAGCCCCGAUAUAAAGUUGUUUUUAACAAUAGACACAAAGGCCCGAUAUAAAGUUGUUUUUAACAAUAGACACAAAGCCCCGAUAUAAAGUUGUUUUUAACAAUAGACACAAAGCCCCGAUAUAAAGUUGUUUUUAACAAUAGACACAAAGCCCCGAUAUAAAGUUGUUUUUAACAAUAGACACAACGCCCCGAUAUAAAGUUGUUUUUAUGUACAUGUAUAAAACAGAUGAUAAGUGACCAUUUUUAUUAAUAUUCAAACAGCUGAUAGAUGACCAUUUUAUAACAGGUAACAAACAUCUCGUUACAUUUUAUAUCCUGUCACGUUCUACAGUCAGAUGGAAAAAUCGGGGAAAAUUUUAAAAGUCUAUUGAAAAACCUUAGUGCAGAUUAGUUUACCGUAAUGGUUUGAGUGCAGAAUUAUCUAAUGAAAACUCUCAUUAAUCUCGGGUGGGUUUUGUAUUCUUGAAGUGUUUGGUUUUUGGUCGUCAUUAAGUUAAAAAUAUAAUACAUGUAUGUACAAAAAAUACCGUUAAAUAAUUUUAUCGUUUUUAUUUUAUUUAUUAAAUGUUUAUACAAUGGUAACGUCGAACGGUUUGAAUUAUCUGAUAGGUGACUUCCUCGUUCUAUAACCUCCAAUGAAAGACGACCUAUAGCAGUAGACUAUAGCUGUUUAAGUAUACAUUUCCACAUUCACGUGAUUAACGGGUACUUCCUAGUCAAAGUGUAAUUCUGUUAAAAGCAUAUAUUCAAAGUACUUGAAACUCACGAGUACUAGUGUACUAGUAUUCAACAUUUUAUCAAAUAGAAAACUGAAAAGGGGGAGGACAAAAUUAAUAAAAACUCAAUAUUCAUCUGAUAAAAUAUAAUUAUACUAAAAAGCUUUUAUUUAAUCUUUUUUUAUUAUUAAGUAAUCAGAAAAAUAUAAAACGCUUGUUAUAAGAAAUUUAUGACUUUUUACAUACGUAAACAAAACUCAAGAAACUCAGCAACUAGUUCUAUAAACCUAUUUUUAGUUUGUCAAAAUCGAAUACAUAGAAAUAUGACCAAUUUCUUAUGCAUGUGUAUCAACUAUUAACAUUGCUGUAUUAGACGUUUUUGAUGUAAUUUUGCACAUUUAAAAAAUUGUAAAAUUUUGCAUCGAAGUACAAAAAUGGAGAAACAGGUGUAUUAAGUGAAAACACCGUAUUUCCGAUAGAAUUUUCGUCCUUCUUAUUUAUGUAUGAUUGGGGGUCCUUCUGAUUUAUGUAUGAUGGGGGGUCCUUCUCAUUUAUGUAUUUUUGGGGGUCCUUCUUAUUUGUGUAUGAUGGGGGGUCCUUCUUAUUUAUGUAUGAUUGGGGGUCCUUCUUAUUUAUGUAUGAUGGGGGGUCCUACUUAUUUAUGUAUGAUUGGGGGUCCUUCUUAUUUAAUUAUGUAUGAUGGGGGGUCCUUCUUAUUUAUGUAUGAUUCGGGGUCCUUCUUAUUUAUGUAUGAUGGGGGUCCUUCUUAUUUAUGUAUGAUGGGGGGUCCUUCUUAUUUAUGUAUGAUUCGGGGUCCUUCUUAUUUAUGUAUGAUGGGGGGUCCUACUUAUUUAUGUAUGAUUGGGGGUCCUUCUUAUUUAUGUAUGAUUGGGGGUCCUUCUUAUUUAUGUAUGAUGGGGGUCCUUCUUAUUUAUGUAUGAUUGGGGGUCCUUCAAUUCUUUAUUCUUUAAUUUUUUAUACAACUUUUUUCUAUUCUUUAUCUAUUUUCCCUUUAUUUUCUAUUCUUUAUCUAUUUUCCCUUUAUUUUCUAAUCUUUAUCUAUUUUCACUUUAUUUUCUAUUCUUUUUAUUCCAACACCCCAUUAUUCUCUUUUCUUUAUUUGUUUUGCCUAUUCUUCUCUUUUCUUUAAUUUUUUCGUCCUUUAUUCUACACUUUUGCCCAUUAUUCUCUAUUCUGUAAACCCCAUUUAGACCCUCAUGUAUUUGAUAAUUUCGUCAUGUAUACAUGCAUGUAAGUCGCUAGUUUAGCUGUUGUUAUUUCAUGCUGAAUCAAACACACUUUAUGACUAAGAGUUCCAAUCAGGAAGAGAAAGAUAUUUUAAAGCUUUAACUCUCUGCACUGUCCUACUUUCCUAGUGGGGUGAUGAUAAUAUUACAUAAUCGCCGUUCUCUUCCUGGUCUCGGAGCUAUUAACAGUUCUGUUUAUUCUAAUACAAUCAUCAGCACUAAAGCAAUCAUAAAAUCGAUCAUCACCAUUUUUUUACAUUUCAACAUAACAAGUUUUUUUUCUUUGUUGUAUUUUAAUGGAAUAAUUGAAAAGCUACCGACAAAAAAAAAACAUAUUAAAUUAGAAUUUAUUGCAUUUUUGCAGAAUUCAAGUCUAAAUUGAUUAUUAUACUUUUAUACAGGAGACUAUUGAGACAUAGCCAUGCAGCCAUAAAUUAUCAAGUCUUCUUAAAAAGGUAGACAACACAUCAAACAAAAAAGUACAGCAACCGGAAAAGGGCAGACUAUCAAUACAAACUCCUUAUAAAACGACACCAACAAAGCAAACACGACAAGGUGGUGAAUAACGUAAGGAGUGUCUAACACACCAACAAAGCAAACACGACAAGGUGGUGAAUCACGUAAAGAGUGUCUAACACACCAACAAAGCAAACACGACAAGGUGGUGAAUAACGUAAAGAGUGUCUAACACACCAACAAAGCAAAACGACAAGGUGGUGAAUAACGUAAAGAGUGUCUAACACACAAACAAAGCUAUCACGACAAGGUGGUGAAUAACGUAGAGUGUCUAACACACCAACAAAGCUAUCACGAAAAGGUGUUGCCUAACGUAAAGAGUGUCAAAAUGUAUCACCUUUUUGAUAACUCACAAAUUUUAAACCGGUUUGGGCUCUACUUUUUUAUCUCUGUUUUCUUUUAAUUUAUACAUGUGUUUCAACGGCCAGUUCCUUCAAGUCAAUAACAUUUUAAGGUUUACCGCUUAGUUUCCACAUGAAAAGUAGACGUGAAUGCUAUCACUGCCUUGAAGAAUAAAUACUGAUCAAAACAUGUUUCGUUGAAGCCGAAAAAUUACAAAAGUCAAAUGCUGUUCGUACGCCGUUGUGCUCUUAAAGCUCUUACAUUAUGUGAAAUCAAGCAACAGUUCAGAAAAUAGAUGAUUUAAACGCACGUACUGAAUAUCAGUGCCAUAUAUUUCCUACCACUCAAAAUAUAUACAUACAUGUAAAUAAUUUAUCUGAAGUAAUAAAAUCAGAAUGUUUUGUUCUGUAUAACUGAUCAUUAUUUACCCAUUUCAGACUUCUUUGAUUUUGGUGAAUUAUAUCAUUUCCAAAUUCAAAGUAAAAGCUUUUGUGCGGUUAUGCAGUUGUAAACUUGGAUAAUAUUGGCUAUCAGGCGAUCUCUAAAGUAACAGAAUGAAACUGCUCCAAAACAGUAAAACGUCUGUUUUCAUAUAAUUUGGUAUUGCUUUUCAUUUAUAGAAGCCCCAACAGAACAUCAAGGAGCUCAAAUUUCCAGGGAUAUUUUUUCCUGCUUCGUGUAUCUAGCAUAAAUCAGGACAUUUGACCUUCUCUUUUGAAAUGAUUCACGUUUUUGUCAAGCCGGGGUUUUAUAAUUAAGAUCCAUUUAUUACAUCGGUGAUCCGUUUAUUUGGCAAUCGCCAAUGGCAGUCAGCAGGGUUUAACAACAUUUGUUGUUCGAUCUGUUAGUCAAAUGCGUUUUGUUAAAAAAAUACUUUUUCACUUUUUUGGUCUUUUGGAAAAUGUUGUUUGUGCUGUAUUUAGACCCUUCUACAAGAAAUUUGUUUUGCAUGCACACGUAUAAAAAUUGCGGUUUUUAUCCAACGCAAUCAUAGGUUUGAACUUUGUUUUCAAUUUAGACUUGUAUAUAUAUAUAUAAAUUUUACUUUACGGUAAGGGUUUUGCUCAUUGUUGAAUACAAAAAGUUAGGUAGACAACAUAAACAAAUGAUAACCAUACUUGAGCUAAAUAAACACUGGUUCGAUGCUUUUACGGGUUGAUAGAUAUUAUUGAAGGUAUCACCAACACUGCUGACCAACAUUAAUGGAGGGAAUAGAAACAAUAUAUUAUAGUUAUUAUCGAAGUUACCAUCAGUACGGCUAACUAGCACUAAUGGGGAGACUUAAAACAGUAUGUCGUUAAUUUGUGGUUUCCAUCGUGUAUAGAAAUAGAUCAUUCUUGUUUUAUAUCUUCUGCGUUAUUUUUAACCAUAUAAAUUGAUCGACAUUAUUUUGAUCAUUCUAUUGCUGAAGUAUUCUUCUGUGAGAAAUGAACUUUAAUCAUGAUAUUGAUUUAUCGGAAACUUACUUCCGCGUUCUAAAAGGUUAAUACUUUUUGAUCAAAUUACAGCAUGUUGUCAUGAAGUCGUUUAUUUGAGAAAAGAGAAAAAAACAUCAAUUUUCAUUUUGUAAUACAAACGUCACUGAUGUUUAUCAUUUCAUACAAUGACAUUGAUAGCAUUAUCCUUAUUAAUGUGAAAUGCAUUACUAGGACAAUUUAAAAAGUAUCCGUUUUUGUAAAGAAAUUGUACAAAUAUAAAGAUUUGUUAAUAUUCAAAUGUAAUGAAGCCAAUUAUAAAACUUCAAUAGAUGAAUCCCAUUGUUAAAAUGCUUGAUUAAUUUGAUAAUAUUCUCUAUGAAUAAAACUAAAGACAAUGACAUUGCAAUAGAGACAACAGUUAGAACCUCAAAAACAAAAGUUCACAAAAACUAGACAUAUAAUGGUUACCAUGCAAACGGUCUUUGGCGGAUGACAAGCGCCCACGCUUUAUAGUCCAUUUUAAAUUAAAUCUCUUGAGGAUAGAAAAACAAAAUAAUUCAAGCAAUAUUGGCCGAAUUUCCAAACUCCCAAAACAUAUCUAAAUGGACAAACUAUGAUACUUUAUUUCAUAUUGUAACUACCGCGGUUGUUAUUCGAUUUUCACGUGGAGGAUUAAACUUGAUUUAAACAUACUUAAAAUCCCUGCUUUCUUUGACAUUUUAUUGAACAUUGUUUUACAUGUAGGCAAAACGGCUGCGGCAAAACGUACUUUACAAAUCAAACCCAGAAAAAAGCACUUAAUUUAUUACCUUUAUCUGUAACAUAGAAGAUCAAUAUAUAGCAAUAUAUUAACAAUACUACAAUAUAGCGAAGUAGUUUUGACAAUUUUAUAUGACUAUAAUUUCUUGAUUUAACAGAUGUAAAUAUAUAGGCUUUUUAUAAGGUCAGCAUAUUUCCAAUUUGCACAUGGCAACAUCUUGUGCAUUAUAUUUGUUUCAAAUGAAAAGGGAUACGAGAUGGAGUACAACUGGUUGAGGAAGUAAAUUUAUGAAAAUGUUUUAUUUUUCGUUUAAUGUUAUUGCAUUAAAUCAGACCGUUGGUUUCAUUAAGCAGGGAUAAGCCAGGUUAUCAGUUAAAACUGGUUAUGCAAAAGCAAUCUAUCGAGACUGUUAAAAGGUUCAACUUAAAUAUUAUGAUUAUAUCUUUUCACAACCGACUAGCUGACCUUUCAAGACCGACAAGCUGACCUUUCAAAGCCGACAAGCUGACCUUUCACAGCCAACAUCAUGACCUUUCAGAAUGGAAAUGAUGUGGUCUUCUGGUCUACCAUUCACAACUGAGAUCGUGUGAUACGGUAUACC